GAUUGUAGUCUGCAACUCGACUCAUGAAGCUGGAAUCGCUAGUAAUCGCGUAUCAGAAUGUCGCGGUGAAUACGUUCCCGGGUCUUGUACACACCGCCCGUCACACCAUGGGAGUCAGUAACGCCCGAAGCCGGUGACCCAACCAAUUCAGGAGGGAGCCGUCGAAGGUGGGACCGAUAACUGGGGUGAAGUCGUAACAAGGUAGC
rnacentral:rRNA from 1 species